GAGGAUCCUGUCGAGGAACCCGACAAAAUUGACAUCGGAACGAUCUUCGGAGACGACAAAUCCAAGAACUUCUCAAGCAGCAACGGAGAGGGAGAGGACUUUGAGGAAGAGAUAGACUUAGAUGACACCUUACACUUCCCAGCCGAAGAAAAGGAGAUCGAUAUAUCGAAACAUGUAAGGGACAUUGUGCAUGUAGAGAUUACGAUUAAUGCAAUAUGCGAUGCAAGCUGCAAAGGUUUGUGUCUCAAAUGCGGCACAA
rnacentral:misc_RNA from 1 species